CCUUCAUGACAACAGAACCACAACAACCAUGACUUUUAUCACCAUCUUCAUCUGGAUAUUUGCCUUCUGUCUCCAAGAGUCAAGAGGCCAGUACAUUUUGACUCAGACCCCUGCAGUGAAAGCUGUUUCAGUGGGUCUCUCAGUCAGUCUCAGCUGUAAGACCAGCAGUGCUGUACACAGUAACAGCAAUGGACACUAUUUGGCCUGGUACCAACAGAAACCUGGAGGAGCUCCUAAACUCCUGAUAUACUGGGCUAAAACCCUUCAGUCUGGGACUCCAUCUUCACCAUCAGUGAAGUCCAGGCUGAAGAUGCAGGAGAUUACUACUGUCAGAGUUUACACUGCCCUAGUAGCUGUGUGUUCACACAGUGAUACAGAGCCGUACAAAACCUCCCUCAGUCAGACUGCACAGUGACUUUACUGCUACAGCUGGGACCUACUGCAGGUGGUGAGGGGGCAGAGGCAUUGAAAUGGAACAAUGGUCACUAGAGGAGGUCAACUGUGACAUGUGACAAUAUUAGAAAGCAAUCAUUCAGAUCACAUGACCAUCCUCAUCAUCAUCAUCAUCAUCAUG